AAUUUUACAAACUUAGCAUGGAUCUGACUAAGUUUAAAAUCAGAUUUAUUUUAUCUGAAAUUAGAGUCGAUUAGAAUUGACAUCUUUAAAACUAACUUUUGAAUGAUAAAGAUAAAUUAACAAUUUAAUUUAAUAAUAAUAAUAAUACUUUUAGCUUAAAUUAUAUUAUAUAAAUUUUAUUAAAAAUUAUUAUAAAAGAAUAUUUUAUUAUAUUAUAAAUAAUAAUAUAAAAAUUAUAAAAAUAUAUUUAUAAUAAUAUAUAUUUUAUUGUAUUAUAAUAAAAAUGUAUUUUCAUUAUAAAUGUUUAUUAUUGUUAAAUUUGGGCCAGACCUAACUCACCUCAAAAGUUAGCUCAAGGGGGAGGACUACCUAUGGCUCAUAUAUGGCUCAUAUAAGAAGCACAUUACCCCUUUCCACAACUGAUGUGGGAUUCAACACCCCCUCACGCGCAGAUUUUUACUGGUGCAUGACACAUUUAUGGGAGGCCUAACAUCGGAUGGGGAGACUGAUACCAUGUUAAAUUUGGGUCAGUCCUAACUCACCUCAAAAGCUAACUCAAGAGGGAGGACUACCUAUGGCUCAUAUAAGGGGCACAUUAUCCCUUUCUACAACCGAUGUGGGAUUCAACAAUUAUAUAAUAAAUUUAAAUCGCCAGCGGUAAGGCAAAGAUGGUGAGAUUAUUCUCUGCCAGCUUUACAAAUUAUUUGUUAGUGUGACCAUAAUCUGUACAUAAUUAGAAGAGAUUGCAAAAUCAUAGGGUAAUUGAUAUUAAUUGAUCGAUAGAGGAUUAUUAAGCGUUGUCUUAACAAGACUUUGUAAUAUUUAUAUAAACACCCCUAUUCACUAGAGAAGGCACACAAUUCUUCUACCAAUUUAUUCUAAUACAUGCUAUUUGAACAAUUGGGUUUAAGUAUCCUCUUGGAUUGAGUUUCUCGGCAGAGAGAAAUUAUUUGGUUGCGUCAUCGGAAUCCAGUGCCCGUUUGGUCUCACCUCCAGCUUCCCAAGGAGCACAUGAGUGUUUUUGGCUAGUCCCAAAAGAUCGGCAUCCAUCCUGUCGGCGAGUGGCUCUCAUGCUCCAUUUGAAGCUUCAGACUUUUUUGUCAUGCGCCGACGCGUGGAGGAGAUGGGCACAUCCAGCAAGCUUUCAAUUCUUGAUCUGAGGUCGCCCCGAGGUUCCAGCUAGUCUCCGGCAUCAAAUUUGUCAUCGUGCAUUGCUGCAGUGGGGUGUCUUUUUUGUUGUGACUGAGCAAGUUCUGUUAGUCUUCUUAAUCUGUGCUUAAUUCUGUUAAAGGUUGGGUGCACUAUUUUAAGGCCUAUUUUUGUGUCUUGGAUCAUUAGGAGAAGCUUUGUGUGGAGUGAAAAUUUUUUUUUGGUGUUAAGUAUUGAUUGAAAUGGCUUCUAAUAGUAAGACCUAUGUGAUUGAGAUUAUUUCUGCACCCACUAAAAUUACUAAACAUAAGUUGAAAAGGCCUAAUUAUUUGGAGUGGAGUUAGAAAAUUAGAACUUAUUUACGAAGUAUUGAAAAAGACGACCAUUUAACUGAAGAUCCUCCCACUGAUAAUAUUAGACAAGCUUGGCUUAGGGAUGAUGCCCAUUUAUUCUUGCAAAUUACGAAUUCAAUUGACAGUAAUGUGGUUGGUUAGUUAAUCAUUGUGAACUAGUGAAAGAACAAAUGGGCUAUUUGGAAUUUUUGUAUUCUGGCAAAGGGAAUCAUCCUGAAUUUAUGAUGUGUGUUGGUCAUUCUAUUAUGCUGAUACAGGGAGCAAAUCACUUACCACUCACUUUAUAGAAUUUAAGAAACUAUAUAAGGAGUUGACUGUUUUGUUGCCCUUUAGUGCUAAUAUUAAGAAAUAACAAACUCAGAGAGAACAAAUGGCAGUUAUGAGUUUUUUUGCCAGUCUUCCUCCAUAAUAUGAGACUGCCAAAUCUCAGAUUCUGUCUAGUUCUGAGCUUUAUUCUCUUCAGGAAAUCUUUAGCAAACUAUUCGAGUGGAAAAUCUCCUCGCUCAACAGCCUAAUGCUUUAGUGGUCAAAGGCGCAAGAGGGAGUGAUGCGUGUAAAAAACCAACCUAUAAGAGUGGAGAUUCAAGUGAUAUUGUUUGUUACUACUGUAAGAACCUAGCCACGUGAAGAGAAAUUGUAAGAAAUUACAAAACAAGAAUAGCAGGACUGCUAAUGUUGUUGCAAUCAACUCUUCUUCUGAGAAUAUUAUUCCCAUCUUAGUCGAGGAAUAUGCUCAGUACUAGAAUCUAUUGAAAGGGUCCACUUCGGUAACUGCUAGUAUUGAGUCAAGUAAAACUUGUCUUGUCUCCUCCUCACAUAAAUGUAUCAUUGAUUUUAGUGGUACAGAUCACAUGACAAUUCUUAUAUUUUUGCUAGUUUUCGAUUACAUAAAGCACCUUCUCUUAUUACUAUAGCUGAUAGGUCAAUAUAUAAUAUUGAGAGAUCUAGGACUCUUAAGCCUACUUCUUCUUUUAUCCUAUCCUCUGUUCUAAGUUUAUCCAAUCUUACUUUUAACUUAAUCUCUGUGACUAAACUUGAUCUUUGUGACUAAACUUACUAAGGACCUAAAUUAUUGUGUCUCAUGUUUCUCUCAUUGCUGUCUUUUCUAGGAUCUUGUGAAGAAAUAGAUUAUUGGUAAAGGACAUGUGUCCGGUGGCCUCUAUAUUUUGGAUUUAUGGAUGCCUCGUACAAUUGCCUGUUCUAGUAUCGUCUCUUCGCUAGAAGUGCAUUAUCGGUUGAGACAUCCUUCUUUACUAGUUUUGAAGAAUUUAUGCCCUUAAUUUUGUGAUGUAUCUUCAAUAGAGUGUGAAUCGUGUCAUUUUGACAAACAUCAUCGAAGCUCUUAAAGUUGUAAAGUCAAUAAAUGAGCUUAGUCUACUUUUGAAUUAGUUCAUUUAGAUGUUUGGGCCCUUGUUCCAUUGGGUCUAAGACUUUUCUCAUGGAUAAUUUUUCUAAAAUGACUUGGAUCUAUUUUUCUAGAUUUCCUAAGACAAUGAAGGAGGCAGGAGGCCCUGAUCCAUUCUGGAUGGCGUGAUACAAUACUUGAGGAGAUUAAGACUCUAGAUAAUAAUCAUACUUGAGACCUUGUGGAUUUACCUCAAGGCAAGAAGGUUGUAGACUGUAAAUGGGUGUUUGCCAUCAAAGUCAAUCUAGAUGGUUUCACAGCAAGGCUUAAAGCACGUUGCCAAAGGAUAUGCACAAACCCAUGGCGUCAACUAUUUUGACACUUUCUCUCCUGUGGCCAAAAUGAUCUCAGUUUGCUUUCUUAGCUGCUUUCCAACAUUGGCCUUUACACUAGCUCGAUAUCAAAAAUGUCUUUCUGCAUGGCGACCUCUAAGAGGAGGUGUAUAUGGGGCAACUAUCAGGAUUUAUUGCUCAGUGGGAGUAUGGGGAAGUAUGCCAUUUGAAGAAAUCAUUGUAUAGUUUGAAGCAGAGUCUUCAUGAAAUAUUUGGCCGCUUUAGAACAAAUUUUAUAUUAUUUGAAAGGAAUUUCUAGACUCGGUAUACUUUACUGUGAUCAUGGACAUAUUACAGUUACAAUUGAGUGUUUUUUGAAUGUUGAUUGAGCAGGAUCCAAAAGUGAUAGAAGAUCCAUUAUAGUUUACUAUGUGUUUGUUGGCGGAAAUCUAGUGUUGGAAAAGUAAACAAAUGUGGUAUCUAAAUCCAGUGUCGAAUCAUAAUACAGAGCCCUAGUUUAAUCCACUUGUGAGAUUCUGUGAAUAAAUCAGCUGCUGAGAGAAGUUGGUCAUUUGUGAGAUUCUGUGAAUAAAUCAGUUGCUGAGAGAAGUUGGUGUGGAUGUGUGUCACCCGCAAAACUGUAUCAGGCGGCUGUUCAUAUUGCCUCCAAUCUAGUAUACCAUGAAUGGACUAAGAACAUUGAAGUUAAUUACUAUUUUUAUCUGUGAGACAAUUCAAGAAAAAUUAAUUUCCACCGGUUAUAUGAAGACAGGAGAGCAACUGAGUGAUUUACUCACCAAGGCAUUAAAUGGGCCUAGUAUAGAGUGUGUUUUAAUAAGUUGGACAUGAUAAACAUCUUUACUCAAACUUGAGGGAGAGUGUUAGUAUGAAUGUAAUCAGUAUAUAAUUAGAAGAGAUUGCAAAAUAAUAGGCUAAUUGAUAAUAAUUGAUUAAUAGAGGAUUCCUAGGAGUUGCCUUAACUAGCGAUAAUCUGUAUAUAAAUGCUCUUAUUCAAUAGUGAAGACACACAGUUCUUCUACUAAUCUAUUGUAUUACAAUUUUGAUUGACUAUAAGUAGUGGCAUGUCCUGCCGCUGGCCAUAUUAGCGGCAGGACCCACUUUUUUGUCGUGGUGCCAAUAUUUCCCUUGAUUUGGGAAACACUUUUUUCUAAACAUCUAUUUGACAAUAUUUUUCUUAAAGGCACCACUUUGAUAAAACCCCAAAAGAAGCCAGCAGAUUGGGUAAACUUAUCAUUCAUGCUCUAACUUGAGGGAGAGUGUUAGUGUCUGUAUAUAAUUAGAAAAGAUUGCAAAAUAAUAGGUUAAUUAAUAAUAAUUGAUUGAUAAAGGAUUCUUAGGAGUUGCCUUAACUAGCCUUUGUAAUCUGUAUAUAAAUACUCUUAUUCAAUAGUGAAGACACAAUUCUUCUACCAAUCUAUUCUAUUACAAUUUUGAUUGACUAUAAGUAGUGGCAUGUCCUGCUGCUGGCCAUAUUAGCGGCAGGACCCACUUUUUUGUCAUGGUGCCAAUAUUUACCUUGGUUUGGAAAACACUUUUUUCUAAACCUCUAUUUGACAAUAUUUUUCUUAAAGGCACCACUUUGGUAAAACCCCAAAAGAAGCCUGUAGAUUGGGUAAACUUAUCAUUCAUGCUAUAAAUUUUUUUAAAAAAAAACUAGCAUCAAACACAAGUUUCUUCAAUAAAUAAGCAAAAACAAAAUCAUAAUAAAAAUAGAUAACUCACCUUUGCAAUAUAUGGAUGUGUUAGAACUAGAAACUUAUGAUCUUAUCUCGCUGGUUGAUAUUCUUAUCUUAAGAGACAGGAAGAAAGAUUUGCUGAAAGAUAGAAAUUUUAGAAGGAAAGUUGAGAAGAAGCAAGAGACAGCAGCCUAGAAGUCCUCAAACCAAAAACAGAGAUGAGGUGCUGGCUGCUGCUCUCAUCUGGACCCAUAAGACAAGGCAACAGGCCUGGACUGUUAUCAUUACAUAAAGGCCGUUGCAAGUGCCAAUUUUCUUUUACCUUUAAAUAACGGGUGUCUGUUAGCAAACCACCACUUCAACAAAUUCUUCAUCGCUGAUGCAAUAGUGGAUAGCGGCAUAGAUUAUGGGUUUAUGCAUAGUAAUGAAUAGUGGCAAAGAACAUAGGUCUUAUGAUGUUACCACCAUGUUCUGUUUAAUUAUUUAGUUAUUUCCAUAUUUUAUUUAAUUAUUUCUAAAUUCUAAUUUGUAGGAGGUUAGCCUCUACUAUGCUAUUUUGAGUUCCUGUUUUUCAAGGGUAGUUAAAACUCCAAUUUGUAUUUAAGUUGACAGCAGAUUAAUAAACGUUGGCUAGAAAAAUUUUCAAGAAGUCUUUGAGUACUUUAAACUCGAGAGAUUACAGGUUCUCUCUGAUGAGCCUGACAACUUUUCAAAAUAGGUCACACAAAGAAAAAUCUAUCUUUGCUUUCUCCUAUUUUGCCAAAAGACUCAUUACACAAACCCAGAACUAGAUCCUACUCACAGGAUCCUAACAGUAUCACAGUAGUAGGAGGCAAAAAAACUUGUUAAUGAUGGUAGCCAGCGGCUAUUAUUUAAAAACCAU
rnacentral:lncRNA from 1 species